rnacentral:rRNA from 1 species
CCUACGGGAGGCAGCAGUGAGGAAUAUUGGUCAAUGGGCGAAAGCCUGAACCAGCCAAGUCGCGUGAGGGAUGAAGGUUCUAUGGAUCGUAAACCUCUUUUAUAAGGGAAUAAAGUGUGGGACGUGUCCUGUUUUGUAUGUACCUUAUGAAUAAGGAUCGGCUAACUCCGUGCCAGCAGCCGCGGUAAUACGGAGGGUCCGAGCGUUAUCCGGAUUUAUUGGGUUUAAAGGGUGCGUAGGCGGCCUUUUAAGUCAGCGGUGAAAGUCUGUGGCUCAACCAUAGAAUUGCCGUUGAAACUGGGAGGCUUGAGUAUGUUUGAGGCAGGCGGAAUGCGUGGUGUAGCGGUGAAAUGCUUAGAUAUCACGCAGAACCCCGAUUGCGAAGGCAGCCUGCCAGGCCAUGACUGACGCUGAUGCACGAAAGCGUGGGGAUCAAACAGGAUUAGAUACCCUGGUAGUC